rnacentral:rRNA from 1 species
ACCGCAUACGCCCCAAGGGGGAAAGCGGGGGAUCUUCGGACCUCGUGCUAUAGGAGGAGCCUGCGUCGGAUUAGCUAGUUGGUGAGGUAAAGGCUCACCAAGGCGACGAUCCGUAGCUGGUCUGAGAGGAUGAUCAGCCACACCGGAACUGAGACACGGUCCGGACUCCUACGGGAGGCAGCAGUGGGGAAUAUUGCGCAAUGGGCGAAAGCCUGACGCAGCCAUACCGCGUGUGUGAAGAAGGCCUUCGGGUUGUAAAGCACUUUCAGUGGGGAGGAAAAGCUGGUGGCUAAUAUCCAUCGGCCGUGACGCUACCCACAGAAGAAGCACCGGCUAAUUCCGUGCCAGCAGCCGCGGUAAUACGGAAGGUGCGAGCGUUAAUCGGAAUUACUGGGCGUAAAGCGCACGUAGGUGGCUUGGUAAGUCGGAUGUGAAAGCCCCGGGCUCAACCUGGGAACUGCAUUCGAUACUGCCGAGCUAGAGUACGAAAGAAGGGGGUGGAAUUCCAGGUGUAGCGGUGAAAUGCGUAGAGAUCUGGAGGAACACCAGUGGCGAAGGCGGCCCCCUGGUUCGAUACUGACGCUGAGGUGCGAAAGCGUGG